rnacentral:lncRNA from 1 species
CUGGCUUUGUACGUAUCAGUUCAAGCUUGAAUUUGACCUGUCAGCUUCCUCUAUACAGAAUGUUAGCCACUUUGACCUAAACCUGCUGAUUUAAUUCUUAGCUCUUGCCUACCUGCACAUGUUGGAUUAUCUUUUAGUUAGAAAAAGAAACAGGAAAUCACAUACUCAUGUAAACUAUGUAAUUGAGCACAUGCAAUGCUAUAGAGUGAGGAGAGGGAGGACAGUGGCUUUUUCUCCUCAUUUUCUGUUCCUAGACCCCACAACAGAUGAUCUCAUCAUACAGGUCUUCUACUCCUUAAGAUAGACAAGAUUGAUGAAAGACUGGAAAUGACUUUGCCUGGACCAUGAUUCAGCGACACUGUCCCUGUGGCAAGACUAUUGGCCAGGCUCAAACGCAGUGGCUGAUCCUCACUGACUCCUCUUCCUAAGGUUGUUGUACUAGGAGCAUCUCCUAACACUACACGGACACAAUUCAAUGACAAAAAUCAGAGAAGGAAAACAAAACAAAACUUCUGGAAUGCCUCUUCAUCUGUACUGUAUCCUUGACAGAAUUCCUAUUGAGUGGUUUUCAUAUUUAACAACAGAUCCAAUUUUGUCAAAUAAAUUCUUACAUGGAACUCCAAUCCGUUGAAUUAGAAGAAAAGUUAGUAUAAGUUAUUUCAAGUUUAAUAGUUUUAGUUGUUAAUUUAUUUCUUAAUUUUGUCUUUCAGGGCACAGUGUUGAGAAAUCAUUUACACAGACAAAAAAUUGCAACUGAUUUUUAACUAUUUCUGCGUGCUAUCUUCCUACAUUUUCCAAUUAAAUUCUGAUAGUUCGACAAGAACUGAUUUCUAUUUUUCAAAAUUAUAUCACUAACUUACCAAUAUUCAACUAGUGCUUGCUUUCAAUGAUUGGUUAAUAUUGGCUCUGAAAACGUUCCUUUGCCAACAUAAAUGUUCAUUAAGAAUUUUUCAAAAAUGUCAAAAAAAUACCACCUCAGUUUCAACUAUGAAGUAACAAUUUAAUAUUUCAAAACAGUCAUAUUUAUUUUUCCUUGCUGUUAAAAUCAAACUUUAGCUUCAAUUUUAAGGCGGGCAUUCUAUAUACAUUUAAAAGUAGGUAAUUUUGUGAGUGUGAAUUGGACUUACUUAGAUUACUAAAAUUAGCAGCAAAAUAUAUAACCUGUUUCCACAACAUCUGGAGUUUAAGUAUUAACACUGUAAAAUAUUAUCUGAAUUUCUCAUAUUUUAAACUAUCAUAUGGACAAUAGAACAGAUUCCACUAUAAAAAUAAUUUUUAAAUCACUUCAAGUAGGAUUACAUGUAACUCUGAAUGAAAUGCAGUUAAAACAUAAAACAUAAUAAAAAUAUAACUAGUGUAGUGUUUGCUGACAGUAUUUGCCUAGCAAAUUUCCUUAAUCAGGGAUCUUUUUAAUGAAACACAAUGAUGGUUCAUACAUAAUAAAAGUCUCAUACGUGCUUUUUUGCUUAGAUAGUUUUCAAAUUUUUAAUACAGCUUUCAUUACACUUUUGAUACCUUACUUGAUAAAAUAUUUUUAAACGCAAAUGCUUAAACACUGUAAAUAUUUUUUCUUAAUUUUUAUGAUUACCUGGAAAAUAAUGAGAACAGUAACAUCUGAAGCCUCUUCCACCUGAAUGAUGAAGAUGUCAAAUAUUCUCAGCCUCAAAUUAAUGUGUCAAGUACAUUGGAUUUGUAUCUUUGUGUUCUUUCCUAUCUUCUUAAAAAAUUGUGCUAAUUACAUUUUCAAAAAUUGUUGUUUUUCUAACAUAUUGGUUACAAUAUCAAUAUAUGUGGCUUAAUAAAAUAGUCUCUGAGAACAUGUGCUUUUCUGAAUGUGUCAGGUGGCAGCUUGCUUUUAACAAUAUUGUAAGUUUUUAUAAUCAGAUUUAAAUUGUGUUUAUCUAAAAUAUUUAUGAACAUUGAAUUUAUGGUGAACA